AUGGUCCUCAGUUUCUUCUUUUUGUUGAUCUUCGUUCUUCCACUUCCUUAUGUAUCCUAAUUUCUAAGCUUUUCUAAAGCACACAAACAGAUCUAGGGCGUGAAUUGGUUUGGCGAUGUCUCCACAACCGCUGGUGGUGCCUAUGGUGGUGGAUAACACAUGUUUAAAUCAGAAACUAAAUCAAGUUAUCUAGGGUUUCUUUCUUCUAUGUACUUGUAACCACCGCAAAAGGUUCUAAUAUCUUAUCAGAACCGGCGAACAAAAGGCGUUUUUGAAGCAACCGAAAGUCUUCAUCUGUUCGAAGAAGAGAGGCAAAGGAAAAAGGUCUGGAAAGGGGGGAAAUAGUUUUGGAAGAGUAUUGGUAUUGGAUUUAACCUGAGAGAGGCUAUUAAAGUUUCAACGACUCAGACCAAAGCAACGUACACCUGCUGCUACCAGUGAUGUUCCUUCCACCGUUUUCUCUGCCCCAUCUCGUAGAACUCUAAGGGGAAAGCUUCUCUUCAACCCAAAAGAACUCAAAUCACGAGGAGAUUAAUGCUAUUGUGUGUGUGGCGAGGAUUAAGACUGCGGAACAUUUGUUUUUGACGUGUGGUUUCGCUCAAACGGUAUGGCAUUUAGUAUCACAAUGGUGCAAGCUCCCUCCAAUUUAUGCGUUCCAGGUAAGAGAUCUUCUUGAUUUGCAUCUGUACAUAGACGGGUCGGCGAAGUCUAAAAAGGUUAUUCAAGCUAUUUGCCACAUGGUUUUCUGGUGCAUUUGGAGGUGUCAAAAUGAAGUGGUUUUAAAUCAAGGGCAAACCUCGAUGCAGAAGAUUAUGGGAGAUGUAAAGGGGCUGUCAUUUUUGUGGAUUAAAGCGCAUCCCAAACAGUUGAACUAUUAAACUUUCUUUGCUAUCAUGUUAACUAACCUCCUUUGACUGUGGAUGAUGGUAAUCAUCUUUAUUUUAUGUUUAGACUUUUGACAUUAGUUUUUUAUGAAUGGCUAAAGGUUAUCA
rnacentral:lncRNA from 1 species